rnacentral:rRNA from 1 species
UUAAUUGAAGAGUUUGAUCAUGGCUCAGAUUGAACGCUGGCGGCAGGCCUAACACAUGCAAGUCGAGCGGUAACAGAUUGAUAGCUUGCUAUCAAUGCUGACGAGCGGCGGACGGGUGAGUAAUGCCUGGGAAUAUACCCUGAUGUGGGGGAUAACUAUUGGAAACGAUAGCUAAUACCGCAUAAUCUCUUCGGAGCAAAGAGGGGGACCUUCGGGCCUCUCGCGUCAGGAUUAGCCCAGGUGGGAUUAGCUAGUUGGUGGGGUAAUGGCUCACCAAGGCGACGAUCCCUAGCUGGUCUGAGAGGAUGAUCAGCCACACUGGAACUGAGACACGGUCCAGACUCCUACGGGAGGCAGCAGUGGGGAAUAUUGCACAAUGGGGGAAACCCUGAUGCAGCCAUGCCGCGUGUAUGAAGAAGGCCUUCGGGUUGUAAAGUACUUUCAGUUGUGAGGAAGGCGUUGGAGUUAAUAGCUUCAGCGUUUGACGUUAGCAACAGAAGAAGCACCGGCUAACUCCGUGCCAGCAGCCGCGGUAAUACGGAGGGUGCGAGCGUUAAUCGGAAUUACUGGGCGUAAAGCGCAUGCAGGCGGUCUGUUAAGCAAGAUGU